CACAGGACAAAUGAAUUUCCAACACCUGUUAUCGGCAAAAUGUGACAUUCUCAAUGCUAUUUCCCUCAUUAUAUUAUAUUAUACAAAAUUAAUCAUUAAAAUUUCAUUUCGUUCGUUAAAGUUCGUCGUAACACUCAUGAGGUAUUUCGUUGAAACGAAUAAAGAUGUCGAACGCAACAUUAUUCAUUGCGUACAUUGGAAUAACACUUUUUCUGACUAUUGGUAUUCUUUGCUUGGUUAAAAAGCUAGUCCAUAAACUAGGGAGGAAAAAAUCGAAAAAAAUCUUCUACCUGUUACCAGAGUUCCCACAUGUUGAAACGAUAGUUUCACAAGAUUCGCCUGACCAUCCUUAUUAUCGUGUACUUCAAGAAUAUGAGAAUAAAAUAAAAUGUUUCAAAUUUU